UACAGAGGUCCCAAGCGUUGUUCGGAUUCAUUGGGCGUAAAGAGCUCGUAGGCGGUCUGUCGCGUCGGCUGUGAAAAACUCGGGGCUCAACCCCGAGCCUGCAGUGGGUACGGGCAGACUAGAGUGCGGUAGGGGAGAUUGGAAUUCCUGGUGUAGCGGUGAAAUGCGCAGAUAUCAGGAGGAACACCGGUGGCGAAGGCGGAUCUCUGGGGCCAUUACUGACGCUGAGGAGCGAAAAGCGUGGGGAGCGAACAGG
rnacentral:rRNA from 1 species